UACCUAUAUAUCCAUAGAGCAUUGAGAUGACGUGAGAGAGUGACUUUAAAUAAGACGAUACAUGUGAGAUAAUCAGAUAAACAUUAAACUAGUAACAACUAUAUUAUUUAAGAAAAAUUAAGUUUUGUCAGUGAUUUAACACAACAAUGAAACUUGUUAGCUAUUUUAUAAAAUAAUAUUUUACCCACCGUAAUAAAUAUUGUCGUUCGUGGUUGACUACUGUGAUUGUUGAACUUUGAAGGAGAUUUGUCAUGUUCAAGCCCCCGUACGUAUGAGUGGAAUUGUUUUGAAAAUAGUGUAAAGUGGUAUACUGUAUGAUCUCAUCUAAAAGAAUUGUAAGAAUUUUAUGGAGUGUUAACAAGAAAAUUGUACGACUUAACAUUGCUAAAAUUUGUGACAUACAUGACAAUUUGAGUAAAGAAAUUUUAGAGGCAUGAAAUAAUGAAUAAAUAGCAAAAGCAUUGAAAAUGGUCAUUUGAAUAUGUUUGCUUGAUGAGAUGGCAACUAAAAAAAGGGGCAUUACCAUUUAUAUAUCCU